AUUGAACGCUGGCGGAAUGCUUUACACAUGCAAGUCGAGCGGCAGCGCGGUCUUCGGACUGGCGGCGAGCGGCGAACGGGUGAGUAAUACAUCGGAACAUGCCCAGUCGUGGGGGAUAACACUUCGAAAGAAGUGCUAAUACCGCAUACGUCCUGAGGGAGAAAGCGGGGGAUCGCAAGACCUCGCGCGAUUGGAGUGGCCGAUGUCAGAUUAGCUAGUUGGUGGGGUAAAGGCCUACCAAGGCAACGAUCUGUAGCUGGUCUGAGAGGAUGGUCAGCCACACUGGGACUGAGACACGGCCCAGACUCCUACGGGAGGCAGCAGUGGGGAAUUUUGGACAAUGGGGGCAACCCUGAUCCAGCCAUUCCGCGUGAGUGAAGAAGGCCUUCGGGUUGUAAAGCUCUUUCGGCAGGAACGAAACGGCGAGCUCUAACAUAGCUCGCUAAUGACGGUACCUGAAGAAGAAGCACCGGCUAACUACGUGCCAGCAGCCGCGGUAAGAC
rnacentral:rRNA from 1 species